GACCCCAGUUUAGGCGGGACUAC
rnacentral:rRNA from 1 species